UCUUGCAAUGUUGUAGGUUGCCUGGGCUGGUCUUGAACUUCCGGUGUCAAGGGGAUCCUUCCACCUCGAUUCCCAAAGUGUUGGGAUUACAGGUGUGAGCUGUCACGCCUAAGUGAGCCAAGGGUGUUCUCACUUAAUCCUGUUACAACCAGUUUUCCGAUGAAUCUUAAGACAGCUGAAGAAGCUUGCCCGAGAUCAGGCAGGUCACAUGGUGCAGCUGGGCCAAUCCGAUGCUUUCUUCUGGGAAUCUGGAAAAGGGCUUGAGAGUGUUCAUCUCUGCUUGAUAAAUGUGGCUAGUGUGAGGGGCCCCAGCCUGCCUAGUGGACUUGAGAAGGAGCAAAAUAUGGUCCCAGGAAGACAAAAAUGGAGGUAUUGUGAAAGAAGCCAAGAUGAGAGAAGAACCAACUACAUAAUUUGUUACAUCCAAUGCAAAAUGAAAGGCAGAGCCUCUUGUUCAAAAACCAGGACAAAUGUAUUUUUAAGUAACUAAAAUAUAAAGCUCUUUCUUCCAUGGUCUUUCUC